rnacentral:rRNA from 1 species
UACAGAGGGUGCGAGCGUUAAUCGGAAUUACUGGGCGUAAAGGGCAUGUAGGCGGGCGUCUAAGUCAAAUGUGAAAUCCUCGGGCUUAACCUGAGAAUGGCAUUUGAUACUGGGCGUCUAGAGUAUAGCAGAGGAAAGUGGAAUUUCCGGUGUAGCGGUGGAAUGCAUAGAUAUCGGAAGGAAUAUCAGUGGCGAAAGCGACUUUCUGGGCUAAUACUGACGCUGAGGUGCGAAAGCGUGGGGAGCAAACAGG